rnacentral:lncRNA from 12 species
UCACUAGGGGCCAGUCGUGGUGAGGAAGUGUUGGAACAGCUGUGGAGAGAAAAGGACUUCAUGCCGGAGUAGCUGCGCCCAAGGUGUAUGGCGGGUUCUGGAAGCCAUGAGACCGAAUCGGAAUGGAUCAAGUCGAGGGAAUUACAUGUAACGUUUGUGAGGAAGAACCUAUUGAUAUGGGGUAAACGGCUCAGGAACAGACUCUUACAUCGGGGCUCAGCCCCACGCGCUGAUUGGCUAGAAGGUUGGGAAGAGUGACGGGCCACCUGAAGGGACGGAGGAGCAUCAGGAUUUCAGAGCACGUAGCGGAAGAAGGAUGGAGGGCUCUCAAGCAGUGGGAAUAGAAGUGGAAAACCAAAGGGGCCGAGGCCCCACCGGCUGCCUAUGAGGACCACUCCAAGGACAUUUGACUUAUUGACAUAAUAAGAAAUGCGCUGGCGAGAGGGUGUUCUGCAAGACACUCAGUGUUGUUCAGGACUCCACGGGUCUACACGAGCCUGAGCACCACCUCCGGAACUGAGAACAGCUUAUUAGGACAGUGCUUCCCAGCACCGGGAAGAAACACAACACCCAUCAGGCUUCCUCGGGCUCUUCGGGCGGCAGCUCCACACCUGGAAGUCCUGUUCCCACUCAGGGCUGAGUGUGGCCCGGAGAAAGGCUGUGGGUGGUUCAUGGCAAGCCUCCACCGUGAUGGGGACACCCAGGACGUGGGGCCACGGACACACCACCUGCAGCACGCAGUUACACGCACAUUUGAAGAAGAGCUCUUGUCUGGGCUUGCAGCUGUGCCUGGUAGAGACGGGGUCUAACUGUGGGGUAACAUGGGCGCAUGGCCGGGAGCAGCCACCCAGGGCUCAUGGCCUUAGACCUGCUGAGCCUGCAGCCAGGACCCACGGCAGCCGCCGGAGGAUGCUCACCCUACCCUCCAGAUGUGGUGCUCCCCGGACCAGGGGAGAGCAGGACGUAGAGUGAAAGCCAGCGAUGCAAGCAGGUGAACCCCAUACUGGCCUUCAGUGGCCUACCUGUAUUUUCCCUCCGUAUGGUCCGACGACAGUCCUGGGUGACCCGCUAGUGGAGUCUGAAGAGGUUAGAGCUGGCUCACAGGCCCUUGGUGUGGAGCCCCUCUUCUGUUUAUUUUCUUCCUCCAGAAGGAUCUGCUCCCCUCCACAUGUCUACAAAGCAGAGAUGGAAAUCAGACGCUGCUGGUCUGAGAUCUGGGGAAGCUGCUCUGGAGGCUGCCGCGAGCUGGAGCAACCCGAGAUGAAGCUGCACAGUCACCUUCCUGACGGCCUCGAACGUGCUUCUAACUCAGAUGGGUUGCCUUUGGGCUUCCAGGCCUUGCCUAUGGCCCGCGUGUGCGCACAGGAGCCCCUUCCCACGUCCCCGCGUUCCUCAUGUCUACGUGCAAGCCUCAGGAGCUCCUGGGCAUUGGCCCCAGGGAAGUAAAAAAAAAGGUGUGUCCGUGAUUUCAAUGGAUUUGUUCCGUGAGUGGAGGAAAAGUUAGCCACGUUGCUGAGAAAGCUGAGUCGGUGUCAGCCUCUGAGCAAAGGCCGUGCUCCCGGGGUGUCCCGUCUGGUAGGCGAGAGGCCUGAUGGUCCAGAGCCAACGCUGGGCCUGGGUCUGAUCCCCUUGAGGAGGGGGGCUUGGCCACGCAGGAGAGUCAACACGGGGAACUCCAGGCCCCAGCAAAGCUGUGGCCGGACCCGCUGCAGUUAUGUCACCCUCGUGCCUCAUCAAAGUGAGAGCAAAAGUGACCAUUUAUUGGAAAGCCAACCCGGGGCACCACCGUUCCAGAGAAGAACGAGUGAUAAUAGUAUCGUGUAUGGUAAUAGUGCCGUGCAUGCCUCAUGAACUUAGCCGUAAACAUUAUGGAAAAUAUAUGUUUACCUGAAAUUAUGCAUGCUAUACAAUUUGAGUUUUUGCUCGAAUAAAUGUUGUUAUUUAAGCA